UCCUACAAGAAAUAGAAAACAUAAUUUACUACACAUACCCAUCGAGUAAGAAUACAGAGAGUUUAGUGAGAAUUUAGAGGUAUCAAUCCUGUGUCAAACGCAAACACACAAUCUCAGGUUAUCUCCGCAAGUAGGGUUGGAGCGAGAAAUUAAACGAACGAGCCUAUCUGUUUGGUUGGAACGUAAGAAUCGAAUUCGGGUCCGAGUGAGGGUGGUGUCCCUACUCGGAUUAGUGUACACAGGUGACCGUUGGAAGGUGGCCACCUUCCAUGGCACAAAGAUGAUAUAGUGGAGGCCGUUGGGAGGUGGCCACCUCCCCGGCUGGAGAAAGAUGUAGGUGACCGUGGGAGAGCACCAUCUCCACGGCACUUGGUGUUCAGAUAUGGCAGAAGUAC